UCAAAAAUAUUAAUAAAUAUUUAAUGUUGAGGAUUCUUCAUAAAGGUUUUACGUGUGCACAGAAUGUUAUGGUAAUCUCCAAAGCAUUCCCAUUACAAAAUACAUCCGAUGUCUAUGGAUAAGUUAUUUUUAUGCCCCCUUUCGAAGAAAAGGGGGUAUAUAGUUUUCGCACUGUCUGUCAGUCUGUCACACUUUUCGUGUCCGCUUUCUAAUUCAAAUAAUUUUCAUUCGAUCUUUACCAAACUUGGUCAGAAGUUGUGUCUAGACAAUAUCUAGGUCAAGUUCGAAUUUGGGUCAUGCCGGGUCAAAAACUAGGUCACGGGGUCACUUAGUGCAUUUCAAGGAUUUAGCAUGGUGUCUGCUCUCUAAUUGAAGUAGUUUGCAUCAACAUUCAUGCGCCUGUCAAGUAUCGGGCAUUCAGCGUGAGAGUCGCGCAUUUACGCAGCAAAACACCCUCUCACACAGCCAAAUCUUAUGCUCUCCUUUUUUAUACGCCCGUUUUUAAAAACGGGACGUAUUAUAGUUUCACCCUUGGCGGACGGCGUCCACAGCAGUGUCCGCUCUCUAAUUUAAAUAGUUUUCAUCCGAUCUUCACCAAACUUGGUCAGAAGUUGUGUCUAGACAAUAUCUAUGUCAAGUUAAAAUAUGGGUCAUGCCGGGUCAAAAACUAGGUCACGAGGUCACUUAGUGCAUUUCAAGGAUUUAGCAUGGUGUCUGCUUUCUAAUUGAAGUAGAUUUCACCCGAUCUUCACCAAAUUUGGUCAGAAGUUGUGUCUAGAUGAUAUGUAGGUCAAGUUGGAAUAUGGGUCAUGCAGGGUCAAAAACGAGGUCACAAGGUCACAUAUUGCAUUUCAAGUAUUUAGCAUGGUGUCCGCUCUCUUAUUGAAGUAGUUUUCAUAUGAUCUUCACCAAAUUUAGUCAGAUGUUAUACUAAAUGAUAUCUAGGUCAAGUUUAAAUAUGGGUCAUGCCGGGUCAAUAACUAGGUCUCGAGGUCACUUAGUGCAUUUCAAGCAUUGAGCAUGGUGUCCAAAACCUUCGAAAGGGCAUAUCUUGUGACAGUUUGGCACUCUUGUUUAAAACUGACGAUGCAUGAAACUAUUUUCACUCAUAUUUUUUAUGUAAUUUAAAUGCCAAAAUUUAGAAAAUGCAUAUGAAUGUGAAACGAAACUGUAAGUAAGUAAAUAGUGUUACAGUUACUGUACAAACAACCCAUUUUUUAAAAGAAGCAUUUUUUUUUUGUAAACUGUACUGAUGGUUUUGCUAGUUAUGCCAUAGGUUGUUGAUAACUCGCGUUUGUUCAGCUAAUUUCAUUAUUUCUUUUAUAGCCAUUAAUGUGUUAUCAUGGUCAUUGACGUGAACAAAAGCAAACUGUUAUUUUUACAGCAUCCAGUAAAAAUACCCAUAUUGUAAAUCACACGGGUACUACUGCUCUAAUGUUUGAUCAAGAAUGCAUCUAAUGGAUAAUCAAACUAGUGGUUUCACUCAAUUGAUGUUUGCAUAUAUAGGUAGGUGUACCUAGAGAUUGAGCUGGAGACAGUGAAGGUGCUGACCUCUGUGUGGAACACUUAGAAGCUGGCAAGUUUUCAUAUUGAAGGGUAUGGUUCCCAACCGCCCAUCACACACAGAAUGAAGCUUGUCGUCUUCCGCAGUAAAAACUGGGUGCUGGAAGAUGCUUACUGCUAUAUUGACUGCUUCCGAGCGCUUCCUGGACCUAAAAAUUAUCUCCCAGCAGCAACCUCCCCAAGGUGUGACGAGAGUCUUCAAGGUCAAAGGUCCUAGGCCACUAAGAAAUAUUUCUUUUAAAUCUCACUCAAAUGGUGACCAUAUUGUUUCAAUAUGCAGAGUUUGGAUUUGGCAUCACUCACACUU